GCGCCUGUAGCUCAGUGGAUUAGAGCAUCGGCCUCCGGAGCCGAGGGUCGCCCGUUCAAGUCGGGUCAGGCGCG
rnacentral:tRNA from 1 species